rnacentral:rRNA from 1 species
CGGGGUGCAGCAGGCGCGAAAACUCUACAAUGCAUGCAACUGCGAUAGGGGGACAUCGAGUGGCAUCCACCUUGGGUGCCUGUCCAACCGUCUAAAAAACGGUUGUUAGCAAGGGCCGGGUAAGACCGGUGCCAGCCGCCGCGGUAAUACCGGCGGCUCGAGUGGUGGCCGAUAUUAUUGAGUCUAAAGGGUCCGUAGCCGGCUUUGCAAGUCCCCUGGGAAAUCCAGCGGCUUAACCGUUGGGCUUUCAUGGGAUACUACAUUGCUUGGGACUGGGAGAGGUAGGAGGUACUCGAGGGGUAGGGGUGAAAUCCUGUAAUCCUUCGGGGACCACCGGUGGCAAAGGCGUCCUACCAUAACAGGUCCGACGGUGAGGGACGAAAGCUAGGGGCACGAACCGGAUUAGAUACCCGGGUAGUCCUAGCCGUAAACGAUGCCCGCUAGGUGUCACGACGGUCGUGAGUCUUCGUGGUGCCGUAAGGAAGUCGCGAAGCGGGCCACUUGGGAAGUGCGACCGCAAGGUUGAAACUUAAAGGAAUUGGCGGGGGAGCAC